UACGAAGGGGGCUAGCGUUGCUCGGAUUGACUGGGCGUAAAGGGCGCGUAGGCGGUUUGUACAGUCGGGCGUGAAAUUCCUGGGCUUAACCUGGGGGCUGCGUCCGAUACGUGCGAGCUUGAGUUCGGAAGAGGGUCGUGGAAUUCCCAGUGUAGAGGUGAAAUUCGUAGAUAUUGGGAAGAACACCGGUGGCGAAGGCGGCGACCUGGUCCGAUACUGACGCUGAGGCGCGAAAGCGUGGGGAGCAAACAGG
rnacentral:rRNA from 1 species